UUCUUUUAUUUCUUUUAUUCUUUUUUCCUCUUCUUCUUCCUCACAUUUGAGUGGUGAAAUAGGAGAUCUUUUAACUCCCCUACUGACUCCAAGGGAGUCUUAUCGAGAUAGGUGGCUAGCGGUGCGGCCCACGGUGGCGUAGCCAUGGGACCCAGAUCUGGUGGCCGACAAUGACUGAUGGCACUGGAAAUCCCACAACAUGGAUGGUCAAAAAAAGGUUAUUUUGAGAUCCAAUUUUUUCAAACAAAAUUAGCAAUUAAACCAUAGAAAUCUCAGUCUAUAAUUCAAAAGGGAUUGAGCAAAGGGUUUUUUAAGGGAUUUAUCUUACUCUUAACAGUGUCUUGGGCCACGAGUUCACCGACACAAGGAUGCCUAAUCAGAAACACGAAAAGAAGAAAAUAGAAAAAAAAAAUAGGGAGAG
rnacentral:lncRNA from 1 species